CCUUGAAAUUUCUAGGGAUGGAUUGUUUCCUUUUGGGACACAGGGUCAGGGGUUGCAUGGGUUUUUUUUCAUUUUGUUUUGGGAUUUUUGGUUUAAUUUCCCAAAGAGGGCAACCCCUUUUCUUUUUUUCCCCAGGAUUCGGUUGGGAACUUUAAGGAGACUGCCGGUGAAAAACCGGAGGAAGGUGGGGAUGACGUCAAGUCAUCAUGGCCCUUAUGACUUGGGCUACACACGUGUUACAAUGGUUGGUACAAAGGGUUGCCAACCCGCGAGGUGGAGC
rnacentral:rRNA from 1 species